GACGAACGCUGGCGGCGUGCUUAACACAUGCAAGUCGAACGAAGAGCGAUGGAAGCUUGCUUCUAUCCAUCUGAGUGGCGAACGGGUGAGUAACGCGUAAUCAACCUGUCCUUCAGAGGGGGACCACAGUUGGAAACGACCGCUAAUACCGCAUACGAUCUAACCUCGGCAUCGAGGAUAGAUGAAAGGUGGUCUCUACAUGUAAGCUAUCACUGAAGCAGGGGAUUGCGGCUGUUUAGCUAGUUGGAGGGGUAACGGCCCACCAAGGCGAUGAUUAGUAGCCGGUCUGAGGGGAUGAACGGCCACAUUGGGACUGAGACACGGCCCAGACUCCUUCGGGGGGCAGCAGUGGGGAAACUUCCGCAAUGGGCGGAAGUCUGACGGGACAACGCCGAGGGAGGGAUGACAGCCUUCGGGUUGUAAAGCUCUGUUUAUCGGGACGAAAGGCCUUCUUGCGAAUAGUUAGAAGGAUUGACGGUACCGGAAUAGAAAGCCACGGCUAACUACGUG
rnacentral:rRNA from 1 species